AUUGAACGCUGGCGGCAGGCUUAACACAUGCAAGUCGAACGAGUGGCGGACGGGUGAGUAAUUGAUGGGAACCUGCCUGAUGGAGGGGGCUAACUACUGGAAAAGGUGGCUAAUACCGCAUACUGUCGGAUGUGCCGAGAUGGGAUUAGCUUGUUGGUGGGGUAACGGCUAACCAAGGCGACGAUCCAUAGCUGGUCUGAGAGGAAGACCAGCCACACUGGGACUGAGACACGGUCCAGACUCCGACGGGAGGCAGCAGUGGGGAAGUUUGGACAAUGGGCGAAAGCCUGAUCCAGCCAUGCCGCGUGUAUGAAGAAGGCCUUCGGGUUGUAAAGUACUUUCAGCAGGGAGGCGUUACCCGCAGAAGAAGCACCGGCUAACUACGUGCCAGCAGCCGCGGUAAUAC
rnacentral:rRNA from 1 species